rnacentral:rRNA from 1 species
GAGUUUGAUCGUGGCUCAGGAUGAACGCUGGCGGCGUGCCUAACACAUGCAAGUCGAGCGAAGCGCUUGAAUCUGAUUCUUCGGAUGAGGAUUCUUGUGACUGAGCGGCGGACGGUGAGUAACGCGUGGGCAACCUGCCUUACACAGGGGGGAUAACAGUUAGAAAUGACUGCUAAUACCGCAUAAGACCGCAGUACCGCAUGGUACAGCGGUAAAAAACUCCGGUGGUGUAAGAUGGGCCCGCGUCUGAUUAGGUAGUUGGCGGGGUAACGGCCCACCAAGCCGACGAUCAGUAGCCGACCUGAGAGGGUGACCGGCCACAUUGGGACUGAGACACGGCCCAGACUCCUACGGGAGGCAGCAGUGGGGAAUAUUGCACAAUGGGGGAAACCCUGAUGCAGCGACGCCGCGUGAGCGAUGAAGUAUUUCGGUAUGUAAAGCUCUAUCAGCAGGGAGAAAAUGACGGUACCUGACUAAGAAGCCCCGGCUAACUACGUGCCAGCCG